CCAGUCCUCUAUUCCAUCUCCGCUGCACUCAGGCUCCACACCGCACCCCCACUCAGCCUCUGCAGGCACCGGGCUCUCCUCACUUCUGCUCCACUCAGGUGUGUUCCUCGCCUCUCCUCCCGGGAAGACCCCGCCUGUGAGGAAGUUAAUCAGAAAGUUGUGGGUAGCCUCCAGUUUUUCCUUCCUACCCACUGCCCCUGCUGGAGCAGCUGGGGUGCAAAGGUGGAGCACAGAUGUGUUCUUGAAGAGGCUGGGCAUCCUGGGCAGGGCACCUUAGAAGACAGCCUGACACAACGAUUGCACCGCAGCCUGCUCUUCCAGAAGCCUGCAGUUAAGCUGGGGAAAUAACGGAAACGCACCCACAGCCUGAUUCCUGAAAUGCCAUGUCGCAGCUGUGCCUUCCGGAAGGGGCGGUCGGGGAAGACACGCCAGAGAGAGAAAUGGCGGAGCUGUCAGAAUGGUCGAAAAGGCCUCGUCAGCAGCACCAGAGAGUCUCCAAAGGCAGACUUCUGAAACAUGAUCAGCGCCCUCCUCCGGUCCACGUGGAGAAGCUGAGCCCAGUGACCUCACAAGCAAAUGAAGUUCUUUUCAAAAGGUCAGGAGCUGGAAGUCAAGAGUCAGAGGUCAGGGACUUUGGAGUCAGACCACCUACAUCUGCAUCCGGACUGACUCUGUCACCAGUUACUUUGUAUGAGCUGGGGAAGUCCUGUGUCGGGCACAGGGAGGCACAGAGGUACGCGUUGGGGUCCCUGCUUUUACAGAAUUACCAAGAGAAGCAAGGAAGUAAAUGCCAUUCCAUUGGAACAAAGGACAAAAGGAAGGGAAGAGAACUACAUUUUAUUCAAGCAUGACCUCCUCAGGGAAGACUUCCACGGUCCUGCUGGACACAGGCUAUUUCCCCUUCAUACACACUCCACAUCAUUUGCUCCCUCUCCAUCAGAACACACGGGUGAAGAGAGGCCUGGAUGGAAAGAAGAAAAGAGACUGGAAAAGAAAAGCAGAAAAGCAGAGCGAAGAGGAGGACUGAGGUAUUCGGUUACAUGAUCUAAAUUCUAAUCAAACAUCAUUUAAAGCGUGUUUUAUUUCAGCCUCGGGAGAGCUGGUCCCUCCUGGCUGCUCACCAUGGCAACGGGCCGCUCAUUUCAGAAGUGUCAUGCCACAUUAUCGUCCUGCCGCCUCACACGCUCUCGCCGCCUGACAACUUCGCUCUGCCCCUUGCGACAACCAUCCCCACUCCGCUGGUUUAUUUUUGGUGUCAGCUGCCCCCCCUCCUCCCCGCCCCCUCCCCAUCAUCCGUGGAUUGAAAGACAACCUCGGCCCUCCAGCCGGUGAGCAUCGCAGCCUGUUUGGUGAUAAGAGAUAAUUUGAGAAGAUAUUUGCUUACAUGUGUAUGAACAAUUUACUGCGUUAAGACAAUUCCACCCGGUACAUGAGGAUGGUGAUGGGGCGGGGAGAUGGGAGGGAGGGAGUUGGCCAGGGAUUCAGCUAAUACCUCAGGAAAGCUGAGAGAGGGGACAGCCUCUCCCUUCUCAGAACCCCUCCAGUCUCAUGGGGCCCCCACAAGAUUGCCAUCAGCCCACCUUCCCAGCAUCCUCAGCUAUGACAGGCCUGCUGCUAGCUUGCUGUGUGACCUUGUACAAGUCACUCUCCUUCUCUGUGCUUCCCCUGUUCGUUAAGUGAUGGGGCUGGGCCUGGCAGCAACGGAUGCCUUACCAAGCGUGGCACUGUGUGAAUCAGAGAUUCUAAACUGAAGAGGGGGCAGCAGAGGGCAAGGGCCCACAAAGGGGACUAUCCCCCCUGAUCUUGUCAACACUGGGAAGACAGAUGGAAGGAAGAAGUUGGCCUAGGCAGGUAAUAAAUGGCAGGGCCUGGGGUGGGCUCCUCAAUCUCCCCCACAGACCUCAGGUUUAUCCUUUGCUGGACAGGGCUAGGAGACCCUCCCUGGUCUCUGCUUGGCUUUCUCCAUCACAGUGAUGAGACAGUGCUGGGGCCACCUGCUCCCCCUUCAUCACGUCCCUCUGCAGACUCACACAUCCAUGGGCACAGUCCCAGACCAGGGGCCAGGACUCAGGCACAAGGACGGAUUCAGAAGACAGUGGCAGGCGAUGUGCCUGAGAGCCAGGAAGGGAUUCCGGAGCCAAGCACAGAGACAAUGGGGGACACAAGCGAAGUGGCCUCAGCCUGAAACCUCCACCCGCUGAAACGGAGGAGUAAGUGUCCAAACGGUGUCCACGGAAGGCUGGCAGGUGUCAUGCCUGCGCUGGGAUCAAAGGGGCAGAUCCCUUCUCCAGACACUGUGCCCUUCUGCUGAAGGGAGCCUACGCUUCUGGGGUAGCAGUCGUCUGUCCCUAGCACAUAUGAUGGCUGUCAGAGUAUUUUUUAAAAGAUUUGGCACAGUCCGGGACAUACAGUAGGCAUUCAAUAAAUAUCAGCUGUUGAAGUUGUCAUGGUAACUAGGGGUCUAAAGAACAAGGCUCUGGGCUGAUUGGGAAGGCCCCUGCUACUUCAGCCUGCUGUGUGUGUCAAGAUCUUGUGGCUGGGUUGGCUCCAUUGAGUCCCCUCCUAGGGUGGCCCAAACUCCAGGGAUGUCUACAACUGCGUCCCAGCCCUCUGAAGGUCUCUGCUGGGUUCUCUGGCCCCUCCAAGUGUGCCUCCCACCGUGGAGGAUGGUCUUCCUCUGUCUGCCCUCACUUAUUAUCUGCCCUGGUGAGGGCGAUCCACUCAGCCAUGAGCCCAGAGAGCCCCUGUGCCAUGAGGCCAGCUGGAAACUUAGACCCUUCCUGCCUCCUCUAUUCCCCAUGCCCUGACCCAGGGUUAGGAGAUCCAUGCCAGAAAAUCUACUGCAGAGAGAGAAAUGUAGGUCUCCUUUACCAUCACACAGUGGGUGGGCACCCCACGCCUCAUCAGACAGACACAGUGUUCCCUCCAGACAUAGUGGACUAAAGAGGCAGUGGACCACAGGGAGAAGACUCCCCAGGGCCAACAGAAUGUGAAACCAGUGCCAGCUGCAGCACCCUUCAGCCACAGGGCCCAAAGCCAAAGACCUAGCCUCAGGGUUCUUAUCCAUAAAAUGGAGCCAACAAUCCCUAUCUCACAGGGUUGUGGGCAUGAUCAGAGCCACACCUCAUACAUAGAGAACAUGCACAAAAGCAUCCAUUAUGGAUAAUAAUGAUGAAUAUUGAUCAAUGGAAUAAUCAUAAUAG